rnacentral:rRNA from 1 species
GACGAACGCUGGCGGCGUGCCUAAUACAUGCAAGUCGUGCGGACCUUUUAAAAGCUUGCUUUUAAAAGGUUAGCGGCGGACGGGUGAGUAACACGUGGGCAACCUGCCUGUAAGACUGGGAUAACGCCGGGAAACCGGGGCUAAUACCGGAUCGUUUUUCCUCCGCAUGGAGGAAAAAGGAAAGGCGGCUUCGGCUGCCACUUACAGAUGGGCCCGCGGCGCAUUAGCUAGUUGGCGGGGUAACGGCCCACCAAGGCAACGAUGCGUAGCCGACCUGAGAGGGGGAUCGGCCAAAUUGGGACUGGGAAACGGCCCAAACUCCUACGGGGGGCAGCAGGAGGGAAUCUUCCGCAAUGGACGAAAGUCUGACGGAGCAACGCCGCGUGAGUGAAGAAGGCCUUCGGGUCGUAAAACUCUGUUGCCGGGGAAGAACAAGUGCCGUUCGAACAGGGCGGCGCCUUGACGGUACCCGGCCAGAAAGCCACGGCUAACUACGUG